UACGGGGGGAGCAAGCGUUGUUCGGAUUUACUGGGCGUAAAGGGCGCGUAGGCGGCCACCGCAAGUCGACUGUGAAAUCUCCGGGCUUAACCCGGAAAGGUCAGCCGAUACUGCGGGGCUAGAGUGCAGAAGGGGCAACUGGAAUUCUCGGUGUAGCGGUGAAAUGCGUAGAUAUCGAGAGGAACACCAGUGGCGAAGGCGGCUCACUGGGCACCACCUGACGCUGAGGCGCGAAAGCGUGGGGAGCGAACCGA
rnacentral:rRNA from 1 species